GGCCUCCCGGUGCUUACCACAGGCUGUGUUCUUACACUCCCUGUACAGAAAGAGGAGGCAGAGUAAACCCACCCCACAUACACCUCAGCCCAGGCCCUUUGCCUGGUCUGUAUUGUGAAUGGAGGGGAUGUGG